AUCUGUGACUUCCAGAAGCCAUGGCUUUUUUUGUCCAAAAGCUAAAGCUGCUUGACACCUCCUUUUAGAAGCAGAAGCUCGUUGAAAUACUGUAGCGCUGAUCACUGUAGUUAAAUGACUUUUGUGUAAUACCGAUAGUACCCUCGUCUGCUUCAAUGGAUUACAGAGAAUUGUCAUGAAACCCUCGUCUUCUCUUAACGCAUGAGCCGUUCUCAUGAACCUCUCUCUCCCUCCCGUCUCUCUUUGAACGACAUCGAUCUAACACUCUGGGUUCAGUCACGAUUCGUGAAUCAUCAAUCAAAAUUCUGGGUUCAAGCAGGCAACGCAUCAGAAGAGCAUCUGAAACUGAGUCUCCAACAGCUGCAAGUGAAGGUGAAGGAGGAGGAGAUGAACCAUAUGAGGAGUACGAGCCUUCAAUGAGAGCUUGUUGUUGUUCUGCUCUGUCUAUCAUGCCCUUCCACCGUUCUUAAGGAAGGACCGAGGGAAUAUUAGGUGUACACCAUAAUGAAAUUUGUUAUAUUUACAUAUCUGGAUUAGAAGAGUGGGAAAGAAUAACUGAGGAUUCUUUGAAAUCACUAAUGAAACACCUUUUUCUUCCAGUGGGAUAGAGACAUGCCAGACUUCCUGCACAAGAUAGCAGCACUGUCUACUUUGGAAAUCAAGAGCAGAUGCAAAAUUACUUGAGGAAAAAGGAACAAAAAGCACAAAAAGAAAGCGAUCUCCGGGUAGGACUGCAGCUUUACAAGAGUGGCAAAUAUGAGGAAGCACUGGAGAAAUUUGAGUCUGUAUUAGGUUCAAAGCCAGACACAUUUGAAGCUUCAGUUGCAACUUACAAUGUUGCUUGUUGUUAUUCUAAGCUUAAUCGGGUAUUGCUCUUGUUCACAUGAACAAGAAUACUACUAUUACAUUUGAGCUCGUGUUUUCAGCAUUUCUUCCGGAUUUGAAGACUUUAAGGGUUAUUUCAGUACUGAGAAAAUACCAUGAUCUAUUCCAUUCAGAUUCUUAUGAAAUUCACUCUACUGUCAACAGA